UGGGGAAUAUUGGACAAUGGGCGAAAGCCUGAUCCAGCCAUGCCGCGUGUGUGAAGAAGGUCUUCGGAUUGUAAAGCACUUUAAGUUGGGAGGAAGGGCAGUUACCUAAUACGUAUCUGUUUUGACGUUACCGACAGAAUAAGCACCGGCUAACUCUGUGCCAGCAGCCGCGGUAAUACAGAGGGUGCAAGCGUUAAUCGGAAUUACUGGGCGUAAAGCGCGCGUAGGUGGUUUGUUAAGUUGGAUGUGAAAUCCCCGGGCUCAACCUGGGAACUGCAUUCAAAACUGACAAGCUAGAGUAUGGUAGAGGGUGGUGGAAUUUCCUGUGUAGCGGUGAAAUGCGUAGAUAUAGGAAGGAACACCAGUGGCGAAGGCGACCACCUGGACUGAUACUGACACUGAGGUGCGAAAGCGUGGGGAGCAAACAGGAUUAGAUACCCCCGUAGUCCCUGAGCGGGCUGGCAAGGCGCAU
rnacentral:rRNA from 1 species